CAAAAAAAAAAAAAAAAAAAAAAAGGAUAGACAAAUGAUCCUUGUGGAGGAGGGGGCGGAAAGAUGGUGGGAACCAGAGGUAGGUGACAUCUGCGUCAGAACAGUACUUGCCAGGCACCGCAGGGCCGCAGCACACACGGACUGUGACUACAUGCUCCAGAUCUGUGCAGAAGCAAAUCAGUCAAUAUCCUAGCAUGAGGGGGAAGGGCUCCCAAAGUCCCGCCGCCUGCCCAGGAACUAUUGGCAACUGACAGCUGCUGGCGGAACAAGACUCAGUUUUCCUCCGGGAUGUGAUCCUGGAGAGGCUACCCAUGCUCCAGAAGACAGUCCCACACCUGUUCCUAUAGAAGCCUAUGAAGUGGGUUACUUUCCAAGAGCCAAAAGGAUUACUUGGGUCCUUUUUACCUUUGCCCAUUCUUCUUAAAUUCAGGGUGAGUGUGCAUCCACACAGAAAGCCUGGCUGAGGCUGGAACAGCCAGGUUGCUUCUGUAUACUGCCUGUUAAGAGGCUCAUGCAGAUGGGUGAACCAAUUCUGAGCCACGACAUCUGGAUUUUGAUGGGUCUUUAAAGAAAACGAACUGAGACCUGAGUGCCCAUUGCUUACAUCUCCAACUUUCAGAUCGUCUCUGUAUUUGUGCGUGGUCAUACCGCCCUGAAUGUGCUCCCUACCUCACCAAAUGAUUUAUGUGACGCUUCACCAAAGGCUGGAUUUCUGUAGUGGUUUCCUCUCCCCUCUGCCAAACCUGCUCCUCCUGCAGCCCCCCGACCCCAACACACAAUGACGUCAUGAGACCAAGUAGGAAAACCGUCCCACAAACUGGACAGAAUGCCGGGGCAGACGGGACGGUGUUCCACUUCAUGUUAGUGGCUUUCUCUUUAGUACUCCUAAUGGUGACAGGAUUGCCCUUUGCCUUUAGCCUGUUUGGGGUCUUGCAGCAAUGUUUCAAGGCAUGAAAUAUCUGACGAUGUUUUUAAGUGCUUUAGAAAGGCCAACCGUGAUAAAGAAUUACACAAUGACUGUACAUUAGUUACUAAGUCCUGGAGAAAACAUGGGAACGCGAUUUUUACCAGGAUAUUUUCGUUAGUCCUUUUCAGCCUAUCCUUCCUUACUGUACAGGCCACGAGAGCCAGCUCUGAAGUUGAGCGUGACCACUGAAGCCUCUCGGGAGCUGAACGCUGACGUGACUGUGCUAUUCCGACAUUACUGUUUCGGGAAGAGCUUUUGACUAAGUGGGAUACGGAAACAUCCAAAUGGAUGCCAACGUGGAGCUCUGGAUUCUCGUAACGAAGUGGAGAUUGAUCUGUUGUGAACCUGCACAACAGCACAGAGCAACAGCCGCAGCACUGCCAACCAGAAGCUCUGUGGGACGGCGCUAACACACAACCCUGGGAAUGAGGGCAUCAGUCCCAGCCUCCUCAGAGUUACCACAGAUUCAAAUUCAGUGAAUCCAGGCUGCCGAAAUGUAACCUGCACAGACACUUAAGCAUUUUGCUGGGAAUGACUGUGAGUGUCCUGAAGUGCCACUCACUUCUGCCGUGACCUCUGCAUCUGUGGCUCACCCUUUGACCCCAGUGACACAGUGCACCCUGACCAGCAAAGGUCUGCUGCCCUGAGACCUUUCUGAUUAGUCAGUCAGAAUGGAAGGCUGUGAUUGAGGGUUCAAGGACACUUAAACAGCAAUGACUCCAGACUGUAACAGCUCCUACAGCCAGGGACCAGGUGCCGGAGGAAGCUGCUUCAGUAGCAGUACCAAUAGGUUUUAGAAGUGUGUGUGUGUGUGUGUGUGUGUGUGUGCGUGUGUGUGUGUUUACACAUGCAUAAGUUCAAGUAUAUGUGGGUAUACAUGUGUCUAGGUAUGAAUGCACACAUGUGCACAUGUUGAUGAAGUCAGAUGAUGACAACCUCUGGUAUCAUUCCUUAGGAAUGCCAUCUGCCUUUUUUUAAAAUUUGUUUUUGUUUUUUGAGACAAGGUCUCUCACUGGCAUGGAACUUGCUGAGUAGGCUAGGCUGGGUGGCCAGUGAGCCCCAGGAAUUCACUGAUCUCCACGUUACAAGUGCACCCCACUCCGCCCAGCUUUUUUAUUUGGGUUCUGGAGAUUCAUCUUGUGUCCUCUUGAUGGCGAGGCCAGCACCUUACUGACUGAGCUAUCUCUCAGCCACGUAGAAGGGAUUCAAACAGUUACUGCUCAGAGCUCCCCAGCCCAGUGCCACAGACCACGGUGAAGCGUGUGAGGCUCCACUCACUGAAGUACAGGAAAUGACCCGAGGGUUCAAGCUGGCUACAAAUGUCCUCCCUUUCAUGUUUCCAAAGUCGGGCCAAGACAGGACUUCUCCAUUGCUUCUGGGUUCUGAAGAAGAGCUGAUGAAGAUAAUGCUGAUGCUUCCCAUUCAAGGACUGUUUCCUCUGUCUUCUAGAGAAUUCCACCAUCUUCAAAAGCCUAAGCCUUUCCAUGAUAUGGGUUCAAGGAUGCUAAGCAGCUCGGAUUUGCAGCUUGGGGCACAGAAACCUAAUAAGCUUUGUUGACUACGCAUACCUGCCAAAUGUUCCUCAGGGGAAAUGAGUUAGUCUGGAAAGUGGAAGCACUCCUACUUCAGAAAAUAUACAACUCCCAGCUAUUACUGUCUGCUUCCUAAUCCGGGAAACUCCAGGGGAAUUCUUGGGCCCAGCUGUUUGAAGGUGAAGGUGGCAGCCCUGGUUCCCUUCUUUCCUUGACCCGGAGCUUGGGGUUAGUGGCUUUACCAAGCAGAGCCUCAGUUUAGUGACACUUGCAGCUUCCACUACAGUCUCCACGGAGGAGGAAGCCUCAGUCUAGAAGGCCCUCGCCUCCCCUUUCCAGUAAAAUGGGCAUCUGGCAGGUCUGAAUGCAGAGCGUCUGGGACGAGACUAAGUGAAAAGCGAGAUUAUGCAAACGAGCACAUCUUCAUCGGAACACUGAUCAUGUGGGUAAACCGGCAUAUACAGCACACUGCGCUUGAAUUUUGGCCUCUGAUGCUGACAGGAGGGAGGCUCUGUCUGCCCUGUUCUAGAUGAGUUUCUCCCUGAUGUUUGAAUAGGCCGGUGAACCAGAGCACUGCUUGUGGGGUACCUCACCUGGAGAUGUGUGCCGGAAUUCACAGGAACUGUGGGAGCAGCUGGCAUCUCCCCACCACUUCAAGGAGUUAUAACACUCCCCCGCCACCCCCAGGAGACUGUCUUGCAGCUUCCACCUAAGAUGUCACCUACCUGGUCAGCCUCAUUCUGAAUCACUUGUUCCAACCCUUUUCUUUACAUGGCCUCUGUGCAUGUCUUCAAGGAGCAUUCUCUCUCAGGCCACAGGCAGGAAGAUGGAUGCCCACCAGCCAAGACCAAUUCCCUUCACUCUCAACACGGUGCUCCCCAUGAAGCCAAUAGCCAGAGGAUGAGUCCCAAGGAAUAAAACCGACAGGGAUUGGGCAGGUCCCUGAGGAGUAGCUCAUAGGGAGAAGAAGGCAGCACAAGAGAGAUGCUCUAUAGCUUUGAGAAAUGACGGCCAAUGUGCUGGAAACACGGCCGACCACAGCAAACUGGGCAGGCGAGUCUGGCUUAUGCACAAACAGCAGAGCAGGAGGGGCACACGGAGCUGCUUGGGACCCUCGAAUUCUCGGGUGCCCUUCUGUGCUGCUGCGCCAUGAUUUCCAAGGCCCUCUGCUUACAGGUGACAGUAGAAAGCCUGCCAUCCUGAGGCCUUCCCAGAAUGAGAGACACCCUUCUUUUUCAUAUUCUUCAGGAGGAUGAACUCAGGCAGUUAUGGCAGGUCACGGCCCUGGCAGCCCCUCCUAUGGGCCGACUGUAUGUAGAUGCCAUGACAGGGUGUCUUCCCUUGCUUGAUGUAAUUUAUAACUAUGUGCUGUAUUCUACAAUCGUACCACUGUCGCCUGCAGCUCACGUGACGUGGUUAGCUAUGCGGUGACAAGGCUCGUGUUUAGCUUUGAAAAGGUGCAGCGCUGUAUCUAGCAGUGUGUGGCACAUGGGCCUGCCAUGCAGAUGUGCCUCAGUGAACAAACAGAGCACGUCUGCAGAUCAAACUGCUUGAGAAAGAGCACAUCUGGAAUAACAACUCAUGAAAACUUGGUUCUUGAAGAAUGAUCUGUAUACAUGCAUAAGAAAAGAGCAAAGCUUUCGCUCAAUUAGUAAUAGGGGCCAGACAGCAAGCCAUGAACAUUCCAGCACUACCACAAGGGAAUGCGAGGUCCAGGGCAGGCCCCAGGGAGUGGGAAAGAGUCAGACUGCCUGAAGACAGAGUGGUUUUCCUCGACCACUAUGGCUAUAGAUUAAUGGGGCUCUCUCCCAGUGGGAGGAGACAGAACAUAACAGGACAUGCUGACGGCUUGGUGCCCACAGAAUCCAUUAGCAUAUGGGGUGGAGUCAUUCCCAGCAAAUUCUUUGCUCAUCACAGAAGACCCUGAGUUGAAGAAACUCACUUGGAAUUACUAUGCAGAGACAAAACUGACUGGGUCUUGUUUGGCUUUUAUAGGCAAGUGUCUGGAGGAGAAACCCAAUAACAGUUCCAUUUAGAGAACAUGACCAUAAAGGAGUUUACUUUUCCGGGCUGUGUUACAUUAUACCAGAACCAAUUACAAAUAUUUAAAAUAGCUCGACUUUUAAAAUGUGCCUGAUGCUUUUUUAUGUAGAAGAAUUAAAAAAAAAAUCCCCCCCAAAAUGGUAAUGAGGCCAAUAAAGGGAGAAUCAGAUUUGACUGGGUGAAUUACACCACAGUGGUUGAGAAACUUCCUAGAAGAGUGGGGGAGGGGAGGACUUGACGUGGCCAGGGUGGCCUGGAGCUAUUCCACAUCUUCAGCCAUGGAUGAAGAUAUUGAGGACGUGUUUGUCAAACCUGCCUAGCCGCAAGGCUCAGAAGGACUUACACUUGGUCCUGCGCUCAAUAACUAACCCACUAGGAACUCCAUUUCAUCACCCAGGAAGUGGGGAUAGGUCCAUUCUCAGUGUCACCCCAGAUCAACACCAAAGGGCUAUAAAAGGAACCUUCCUUCACACAAAGAGUGAUAGAAUCGGGAACUUUUAAACUCCCAAUUUAGACGGCCAGAAGACUGAGCCAUUAUGCCAAGUUGAAAGAGAAAUCAAGUCUACAGCUUCAAAUAAAUUACUCUGGUUUAGGAGUCAACAAACAACAAAAACAACAACAACAUAACGACACAUGAAGGAAACAAAGAGUCAUAAAACCUUCAACAAAACCCAAAACACACAAACCACAAGCUAACUGACCAAUAACGCCAGAUCACGCUCUUCUGGACUACAACAACAUCUUCUGCAGACCUUCAUGAAAGUCCUGCUCUGCCUGUCAAUCAUUCCCUUUGGCUAACAGACAGCUGCAUCCGGGCGAGCUGCCUGUGGAGUAUGUCAGCAUGGCUGUCAACCUCGCCCAUGGCGAGGUACUUGAGUUGCUUCCGGCGUGAGCCUUCAUUAAGAAAAACGAACCACUGAAGAAUGAGAGAGGCGUGACUCGGUAGUGCUUCCAAGGAGGAACUCGAGAAGUUCAUAAUGGUCACUGAAAGAUUUACAACAAGCCCCCACGGUCAGGCGUGUUUGCAUAUGCCUGGCGGACACUUCCGCCUAGCCAGGUCCAGGUCAGGAUAGCCAUUUCCGGGUCAGGGCAUCUCGCGUGACCAAGAUCCGUGACGUUCCACUAGCCACGUAGGCACGCAACGUGGCCAUGUGAUCUACGCGCUUGCGUGUAGUAGUGACGCUGAUCUGUCCACGCCCAGCCUUUAAAAUCAGGCGCCAUGUUCCCGGUUCCUUCUUCUCCACAUACGUGUUUCCCGCAGGCCUGUUCACUCAAUGUCCCUUUACCUUUAAUAAAACUCUUGUUAGCGGAUUCUGUCGUGUUUCGUGGCAUUUCCUUGCAGGGUAAGAACACAACGCAGCCGAAAAACUAACAGUCACAAGGUCCUCAAAAGGCAACUACUACCAGUCUCCUGAGAUUCCAGCAUCAAUCCUAACAUUAACGAUCUCCCUAAAUUUUAAAACAUUUACAAAAAUAGGGGCUGGAGAGAUGGCUCAGUGGUUAAGUGCACUAGUUGUUCUUCCAGAGGACCUGGGUUCGAUUCCAAGCACCUACACGAUGGCAGCUCACACCCAUCUGUAUUUCCAGUUCCAGGGGCUCUGACAUGUCUGGCAGAUGAGGGCACCGGGUGCACACAUGGUACAUAGACAUAUAUGCAGGCAAAAACAUCCAUGCACAUAAAAAUUGAUUAAUUAAUUUUAAAACAUUAAAAAUUUACAAAAUAGCUACCUGAUAUAAAGAUCUUAACCAUUUUACUGUAUAUACUUAGACAGUUGUUAUUUUUACAAUAUUGAUUU